rnacentral:rRNA from 1 species
AUGCCGCGCGCGUCCGGCUCCGCGGGCCGCCCGGCGGCCGCCGCCACCAGCGCGAGCAGCGAUGCCGGCCACUCUGAGCCAUCAUGCAGCACACCUGCCUAUCAGAAGGUGUUUCGCCCUGUUACUCGGUCUAUGACCCGUAUACCUCCUGCGGUUACUGCUACAUCUGAUGCGAAGAAAAGAGUCGAUAGCACAAGCAGCAAUAGAAGUACUCCAGAUGCUCGCUUUAGCAUUCAGUUAGCUGCAGCACGGCCCACUGUAACCCGUGCUCGAACCCCUCAGGAAGUGACUAAAUCUGCUUGGAAACCUCUUACUCAGCCUGCUGUUCUGAGUGAAGACCUGAAGCGAGCAAGUACUCCUGCAACCAACCCUACUGCCAAGCGCUCCAGAGUUACUAACUCACAGGCUGCUAAAGAUUCAGCUUCUAAAGUUAAUCGAAAUGUUCGCAGUGGUAAAAAGAACAGAAACGAAGAAUGCGCUAGUCAGGCUGAUCAAUCAGAUGGUGCUGUCAUCGCAUCUCCACCAAAGAAGCUGCAUAGUGGCAAGGGCUCUUCUAAUCUGGUUUCAAAAAGGAAAAGCACUAUCAGAAGCAAGGGUGCUAAAUUAGCUGCUCAGCUGCUUAUGGGGAAUCCAGAAACUGAACUUGGAAAAGAUCCUGCCAGUGUUGAUCCAUUGCCUGCACAUCAGCUGCAACUUGAGAUUGCAAAGAAGUCGAAUGCCAUUACAGAAGCUAUUGCCAGUGGAACUAGCCAAGUCAAUCAGUCAGUUGCUGCAGUCAUCACAGAAGCUAUUUCCAGUGGAACAAGUCAAGUGAAUCAGUUGGUUGCUCCAGCAGUUACAGAUGCUGUUGUCAGAGGAAAAAGGCAAGCUGAUCAGUUGGUUACUCCAGUCAUUACAGAAGCUAUUGGCAAUAGAAGAACACGGCAGAUCAGUCAGCCGGUUGCCCCAGUCAUUACAGAAGCUAUUGGCAACAGGACAACCCAGGUCAAUCAGUUUGUUGCUCCAGUCGUUACAUUGCCAAGACAACAAUUACAAAACAAUAUUCAACAGAAGCUUAGCAAGAUAACUCUGCCCACAAGCCAGGCCAGCGUCCCGGCUGGUGCUACUGGCCCAAUGGUGGUCCCAAAGCUAGAAAUCGGGAAUGCAAAUGAGUCUUCCCAUGCUGUGUCGAGUGCUGCUUACAGGAGGGCACUGUUAAUCAAGCAGCAAGAGCAGCUUCUGCAGCAAUAUAAGUUGGUGAAUUCACAAGCGCAGCUUCACAUCAAGGGUCCUGCUCUGUUUGAGGGUGACGAAGCGCCAGAGACAGAGCCGCUGGGAACAAGGUGCGCGCUCUGCAAGCUCGACCUCGCUUUUGAGGCUCAUGGGGGCGCCGCCCACGAUGCCUCCGCUCCCCCUGUCAUCGCUGUCCUUAGAUGCCACCAUACAUUCCACAGCAGCUGCAUCGAGGACGUCUAUGGCCUCGCCGAGCCCGCCCAGUGUAUUGCAUGCCUCGACUGCGAGAAGCGCACUGAUGGUCAGCCAGUAGCACCGAUCUGUGUGGCUGGGCUGCGGUGUAGGGCUUGA